GAUGAACGCUGGCGGCGUGCUUAACACAUGCAAGUCGAACGAAGCGAUUUAGCGGAAGUUUUCGGAUGGAAGCUAGAUUGACUGAGUGGCGGACGGGUGAGUAACGCGUGGGUAACCUGCCUCACACUGGGGGACAACAGUUAGAAAUGACUGCUAAUACCGCAUAAGCGCACAGGGCCGCAUGGUCCGGUGUGAAAAACUCCGGUGGUGUGAGAUGGACCCGCGUUUGAUUAGCUAGUUGGUGGGGUAACGGCCUACCAAGGCGACGAUCAAUAGCCGACCUGAGAGGGUGACCGGCCACAUUGGGACUGAGACACGGCCCAAACUCCUACGGGAGGCAGCAGUGGGGAAUAUUGCACAAUGGGGGAAACCCUGAUGCAGCGACGCCGCGUGAGUGAAGAAGUAUUUCGGUAUGUAAAGCUCUAUCAGCAGGGAAGAAAAUGACGGUACCUGACUAAGAAGCCCCGG
rnacentral:rRNA from 1 species